rnacentral:rRNA from 1 species
GAUGAACGCUGGCGGCGUGCCUAAUACAUGCAAGUCGAGCGAACGGACGAGAAGCUUGCUUCUCUGAUGUUAGCGGCGGACGGGUGAGUAACACGUGGAUAACCUACCUAUAAGACUGGGAUAACUUCGGGAAACCGUAGCUAAUACCGGAUAAUAUUUUGAACCGCAUGGUUCAAAAGUGAAAGACGGUCUUGCUGUCACUUAUAGAUGGAUCCGCGCUGCAUUAGCUAGUUGGUAAGGUAACGGCUUACCAAGGCAACGAUGCAUAGCCGACCUGAGAGGGUGAUCGGCCACACUGGAACUGAGACACGGUCCAGACUCCUACGGGAGGCGGCAGUAGGGAAUCUUCCGCAAUGGGCGAAAGCCUGACGGAGCAACGCCUCGUGAGUGAUGAAGGUCUUCGGAUCGUAAAACUCUGUUAUUAGGGAAGAACAUAUGUGUAAGUAACUGUGCACAUCUUGACGGUACCUAAUCAGAAAGCCACGGCUAACUACGUG